UUUCUACUCCCUCCGUCCGAAAAUACUUGUCAUCAAAAUGGAUAAAAAGUGAUGUAUCUAAAACUAAAAUACGUCUAGAUACAUUUCCUUUUAUCCAUUUUGAUGACAAGUAUUUCCGGACAGAGGGAGUAUUUG
rnacentral:pre_miRNA from 1 species